GCAUUUGUGACAUGCGCCCUAACCACUCAACUACCUGUGCGUACAGACUAACUUUCUUUUAAAGGAUUUGAGGUGACGGUGGACCUCCAUUGCGUAUCGUUGCCCCUCAUAUUUCGAAUCACACGCCAAAGCCGCAAACCUGAAUCAGUCAUGUGGUACAGCCGGCUCGCGAGGCUUCUAACGUCACUACAUACGUCAUCGACACAAGCCUCGACACAGAGAGGGGUCUGUCUGCAGCCUGCAAGAGAGGGGCGUAACCUGUAGUGGGCGUAACGUGUAGUGUGGGCGUAACGUGUAGUUGUGUAAAUCACGUUGAACCACGCGAGAUGUAGAAUGAGACCCGCCAAAAGCAAGAACAGAACAAGGAAAUACACAAGAGAUGUCUCCAAAACGAAAAAUGGCGAUCGUAUCCAGACUGUGACAGUCUACACCCUGGUUGAAAAGUACACAUUGACAGUGCCAGAGGCUGUGGCCAGGUUCAGAAGGGGCCCACAAUAUGAACCAUGUGAAUUGGAAAUGAUGCAAGCUGACUUGAUGAAACAUUUAUCAGAGGAUGCAACAGAGAAGCUACAAGCCUAUAAAGAUAGAAUGUGAAGAGCCCUCUCCUCUGAGGCAUUUCUUAGCCAGCUAUAAGGUGUAAUAUCUUCAAAGAUUUACUUUUCUUUUUCUUUUGACUCCUCCAAGGAAAUGUGUCACAGCCCUACGGGGGCCUCUAACCAUUCUCUUCUGUUUAACUCAAAACUGUAGUAAAUGGUGCAUUUGUUGGGGACUGUUUUCUGCGGUGGAGUAAUACACAGUGUGUGUUAGACUAGAGCAGUGCACACUUACAAACUGUAGAGUAUGUAUCAAAUGUGAGUAUGUGUGCAUACAUAUGUAUAAACUUAAAUUUUAUACAGGAUAUUGUAAUCGUUUUGUAAUGUAUAUGCAAUUGGUCUGUUUCAUUUCAUAGUUCCAUCAGCAUCAUUUGGCUCCAUAAAACUUGAGACAAAAUGCUGAAAGGCAUUACAGUGUGCAUCACUGCCUGAGUUGGAUGUAAAGAAAAAAAGAGCUAAUCCUUGCAUUUGAACAGCUAUGUUAUUAACUGCUUUAUAAGUGUCCAGUACAAGCAACCGUUCAUCAGGUACAGGUACAUGACAUUUAACUGUUGAUGCACUUUGUUAAAGUCAAAUCACACAACACUUAACAAGUAUUUCCUAACAGGAGAAGCAUUUAUAUUUACACAAGUCUAGGCACUACCAUGCUCGCAAGCAGAUGUUUGUCAGCAGACCAUGUUCUCUCUGUCAUGGCAGUCAAAGAACUAAUAAAAAGCUGAUUUAUAAACAUUUAAAUCACUUGUGCAUUGUGUGUGUGUCCAAGCCUGUGUGUGCGUGCCUGCAAUCACGAGUGUGCGCUUGUGUCUAGGAUGGGGGGCACAAAAAAAGUAUUUGCACCAGGGCCUAUCACCAUGAUGUUAAGCUACUGUGGCAGACAAUCUAAAUAAUGUUGCAUCAGAAAGUCGGAGUGUGGCCGAAGUGAAAGAAAGUGGUCAGACAUAAAAGUGGAAGCAAAAAAGCGCCUGUCAUCACACAGGCAGAGCGUCUGUGUCACGGGCGGGGGAACGGCCACCGGAGCUCACCCCGCUGGAUGAAAAACUGGUGGGGAUCAUUGGGGAAUCCCUCCUGAGUGACGUGGUGACGGAGGUGGAGGGGGACACCAAUGCCCCUCGUGCCCUCCAGUGGCUGUGUCCUUACAGAUGCAGUCCUGCAAAUGCAGAGAAACACCAUCACUGCAAUAAAUGAUGUUUCCAGGGAACUGCGGGAGAUAAAAAAUGUCUUUUCCGAGUUAAACACCACCAUGAAGGAAUUUAUUAAAUGAUUGUUUCGUAUUUGUUUCCAUAUCUGUAUUUUCACAAGCGACGCAUCACAUCCAAACGCUGGCGCACGGCACGUGUGAGAAUUAACCUGAUUGACUAACAGUCCUUCAGACUAAUAAUAUAAGAUAAUUAUAGUCUUUAUAUUUACAUAGCAAG
ensembl:lncRNA